GGUUCGAUGGUGUAGUUGGUUAUCACGUUCGCCUCACACAUGUGUAGUCCGCGAAAGGUCGCGAGUUCGAGCCUCGCUUGAAUCA